CGCAGCCGCUCCCGCGGCUCCCUCGGCUCUUCCAGCGCCGCCUGCGAGACGAGGCGGAGGCAGGAUGAAGAUGACGGUGGAUUUCGAGGAGUGUCUGAAGGACUCGCCCCGCUUCAGGGCUGCUUUGGAAGAAGUAGAAGGAGAUGUGGCAGAAUUGGAACUGAAACUUGAUAAGCUUGUGAAGCUAUGUAUUGCAAUGAUUGAUACUGGAAAAGCCUUUUGUGUUGCAAAUAAACAGUUCAUGAAUGGGAUUCGAGACCUGGCACAGUAUUCUAGCAAUGAUGCUGUAGUUGAGACAAGUUUGACCAAAUUUUCUGACAGUCUUCAAGAAAUGAUAAAUUUUCACACAAUCCUAUUUGACCAAACUCAGAGAUCGAUUAAGGCACAGCUUCAGAACUUUGUCAAAGAAGAUCUUAGAAAAUUCAAAGAUGCCAAGAAGCAGUUUGAAAAAGUCAGUGAAGAAAAAGAAAACGCAUUAGUAAAAAAUGCUCAAGUACAGAGAAACAAACAGCAUGAAGUUGAAGAAGCCACAAACAUUCUGACAGCAACAAGAAAAUGUUUUCGACACAUAGCCCUAGAUUACGUACUUCAGAUUAAUGUCCUUCAAUCAAAACGGAGAUCAGAAAUCCUGAAAUCAAUGUUAUCCUUUAUGUAUGCCCAUUUGGCCUUCUUUCAUCAAGGAUAUGAUCUAUUUAGUGAACUUGGGCCCUACAUGAAGGAUCUUGGUGCACAGUUGGAUCGACUGGUUGUAGAUGCAGCAAAGGAGAAAAGAGAAAUGGAGCAAAAACAUUCCACCAUUCAACAAAAGGAUUUCUCCAGUGAUGAUUCUAAGCUAGAAUAUAAUGUAGAUGCUGCAAAUGGCAUUGUUAUGGAAGGUUAUCUGUUCAAACGAGCCAGCAAUGCCUUCAAAACUUGGAACAGACGCUGGUUUUCAAUACAGAAUAAUCAGUUGGUUUACCAGAAAAAGUUUAAGGAUAAUCCCACUGUGGUGGUGGAAGAUCUAAGGCUCUGCACAGUGAAACAUUGUGAGGACAUAGAACGACGAUUCUGCUUUGAGGUGGUCUCUCCAACAAAAAGUUGUAUGCUUCAGGCAGAUUCUGAAAAGCUGCGCCAGGCAUGGAUUAAGGCUGUUCAGACCAGUAUUGCUACUGCUUAUAGAGAGAAGGGUGAUGAAUCGGAGAAGCUGGAUAAGAAAUCAUCUCCAUCCACAGGAAGCCUGGAUUCUGGAAAUGAGUCAAAAGAUAAAUUAUUGAAAGGAGAAAGUGCAUUGCAGCGAGUCCAGUGUAUUCCUGGCAAUGCCAGCUGUUGUGACUGUGGUCUGGCAGACCCACGGUGGGCCAGCAUCAACCUGGGCAUCACCCUGUGUAUCGAGUGUUCUGGGAUUCACCGGAGUCUUGGAGUUCAUUUUUCAAAAGUACGAUCUUUAACUUUAGACACCUGGGAGCCUGAACUUUUAAAGCUUAUGUGUGAGUUGGGGAAUGAUGUUAUGAAUAGAGUUUAUGAAGCUGAUGUGGAAAAAAUGGGAAUAAAGAAACCGCAACCAGGACAAAGACAGGAGAAAGAGGCGUAUAUCAGAGCAAAAUAUGUGGAGAGAAAAUUUGUGGAUAAAUAUUCUAUAUCAUCAUCACCUCCUGAGCAGGAAAAAAAGAUUGCCUCCAAAAGUUGUGAAGAAAAGAGGCUGAGCAUUUCUAAACUUGGGACAAGUGAACAAGUUAGAGCAUCUCCCCAAAGUUCAGUGGUUGCUGUAAAUAGCGACGAGGCCAGGCGGGAGUCUCUGUUCUGUCCUGAUGAGCUAGAUUCACUCUUCUCCUACUUUGAUACUUCUUCAAAACUACGUAGUAUCAAAAGUAAUGACAGUGGAAUCCAGCAGAGCUCUGAUGAUGGAAGAGAAUCUUUACCUUCCACAGUGUCAGCCAAUAGUUUAUAUGAGCCGGAGGCAGAAAGGCAGGAUUCUUCUGUGUUUCUCGACUCUAAACAUCUUAAUCCAGGACUCCAGCUUUAUAGGGCUUCGUAUGAAAAAAAUCUUCCUAAAAUGGCUGAAGCUUUGGCUCGUGGCGCAGAUGUGAACUGGGCUAAUUCUGAGGAAAACAAAGCAACACCACUUAUUCAGGCUGUAUUAGGGGGCUCUUUGGUGACAUGCGAGUUUCUCCUUCAGAAUGGUGCGAAUGUGAACCAGAGAGAUGUGCAAGGGCGGGGACCACUGCACCAUGCCACUGUCUUAGGGCACACGGGGCAGGUAUGUUUAUUCCUAAAACGAGGUGCCAAUCAACAUGCCACUGAUGAAGAAGGGAAGGACCCUUUGAGUAUAGCUGUGGAAGCAGCCAAUGCUGAUAUAGUGACCUUGUUACGUUUAGCAAGAAUGAAUGAAGAGAUGCGGGAAUCAGAAGGACUUUAUGGACAGCCAGGUCAAUAUUCUACUAAUAACCAUACCGAAAUGCAGUAUAAGAAAUGCAUCCAGGAAUUUAUCAGUUUACAAUUGGAAGAUUCAUAGUUCUUUAGCAAACUAACUUAAUGCUACAGAGUUUUUAUAAAUUACUUGUAAAUUGUGAGUUGUUAGGUAUAUACUGUACUUACUGAAUUCUUGGGAGUGGCUCACUCUCGAGCCUUUAAAAAUCCGUAACUAUUCCUAUUACAGAACACAUUUACUUGCUGUAUUUAACUCUGGCUGCUGGCUUCUUUAUCUGCUGUACAGAUGUCUUCCAUAUACAUUCCAGAGAGGCGAAUGGAAUGAUAAUGUGUCUUUAUACACUUACAGCAGCACAGCAGUCAUUUUCUUUUUGGCUGUCAAGUGAAUAUAACAAAAUUGUUUUCUUUUUGUUAUUCAGGGAAUUUCUAUAAAUUGUGUUCAGGGAAAAAACAAAUCGCUAUGUGUUGACAUAUAAAAGUCAGUAUGGAAAAUGCCUAGAAGAAGUUUAUUGAAUUAGGAGUUCCGUAUUUGAUCUAAAAAUGAGUUGAAGGUUUAAGAAUAAAAUUUACCAGUAGGUUAAGAAGUCCAUAAUGCAAAUGGAGUUAGUUUAAAAGGUAUAGGGAAAAGGUCAAAUUUUAUCUUGUACCUUUGCCCCAAGUAAUUGUACAAUAUCUGUUGGAUAAAUGGAAGUAUUUAGAAGAACAUUUCAUGAGCUUGAUGGCAAAGUAGACGUAUUCUUAUUAGAGAGAACUCAGGAUCAGCUCAAGUCUCAUUUUGAGUAAUUUUUGAGUCGAGAUGUCAAGAAAAGCAAGAAAUGUUGCUGAUCAGAUUUCUUUCUUUGAUGAACAUAUCCUGAUUAGACAUUCUUCACAAAGAAGAGAGUAAUAAUUAGAUCUCCAGUUUCAUGAAUUUGAGUAUAUGAAUUACUAAUUUAUCUGUUUUAAAUUCAUAUACAUGCUGGUUAAAAAUUUCAGGAAUUCAUGACUAAAAUAAUUGAGAAUGUUCAGUUUUAAGUGAGUAUGUUUGAUUUUUUUUCAAUGACUAUUAAUGUAUUAUUUUAAAAGUGGCUUGUGAUAUCAUCUAUCUUUCCUGUUUAAGUAUGUUCUGAAAUUUCUGCACUUUAUGCUAGCUUCAGCCAUUUACUUUUAUUUUAGCCAGAUUAAUAUAUAACUAAGAUAAAUAUGGGGCCAUUCCUUUCUCAGAGGACUGUAUUUAUUACUUAUUUUUGGUCUAAUUUAAUAGGGAACAAAUAAGAACUUUGAGAAUAGAGGCACUUCAGCUAGAUACUUCUAAUCUAGGGUGUCCCACUUUAAUCCUAUGGAUCAAACAAUACUACUGACUCAUGAUGUACCAAGAUGUAAGAGUGCUGAUUAAGGGUGAAGUCUCAGCGUUAAUUCUGAAUUUCACCCAUUUGUUUUAAACUUGAAUGUUAGACUUUAAAUACAUUAUAAUUUUGUAACAGAUAUACACUUAAGUGAUAGUAUUACUAGGCCAUUUUUGAGGCCUUUAUGUUUAAGCACUUUAAAAUGAAAAUUAUUCAAAGACUAUGACCUGAUUCGUGAGAUAAGAGUGAACUUCAAGAUUUUAAGUUAAACAGUUUUUUUUUUUUCCUGACAUUUUAAGUGUAAAUGUUUGGUCAGCUGCUCUUUCCUUAGGUGUUUGCUGAUGAAGCUGCACCCAGCUGAUUAGUCAGAAGGUCGGUGGGUGACUUUUCUCUGGAGCUGGGAAGCUUGAAAGGACAGGUCCUCUUAUGUUCUUGCAGCUUCUAGUUCCACCUAAACUGCUCGGGCUUCGGCCCCCAUCUAGGAGCAUUCAAAUGUCUCUUUCACUGUCGUUUUAUGUAUAAGUUUAUGAGUAUAUACCUUCUGCUCAACAGUAGAAAAACAGAUUUUUCCAAUUUAUUUGAAUGAAAAUUUGAAGAAAAGACUUAUUUAAAAAAACAAGCUUUCCUACCACUCAAAUUUUAGCUUAGAAAAGAUUAAAAAAUAGAUCCAAAGUCUGGAAAUGGUAUAUCAGCAGAAUAAAAUGAGAUUCUGAUUUGGUAAUAAUUAGAUUUUAAAUUCAUUUGGGGGUCUCAUAGUUAAAGCAGAAAAACUUUAUACUUAUACAGGUGACGUGGUAAAAUGGCUCAGCAAUUGCUCUCUGGCUACUUUUCCUUUGAGUCUUUGGAGAGCAGAUAUUUUUGCUCAGGCAGCAGGUCUUUUUUCUUCUCUGCUUAUCACUGUAAAUUUCUCUCUCAUAGAUUUUGGUUGGUUGUUUUAUCUAGAUCCUUUUUUUGUUGCUUAGCAAUAGAAGGAAAACCUCAGAAUUCUGAGUAGUUUUAAAAGGCGGGUAUUUUCAAUUUUUUCAUGAUGAAGAGCCCUACCAUUAAAAGACUCAGAUAUAAUCUUUGGGAAUGAUGGACCUAUUUCUAGGAAACCCCACUUUUGAACUUUCUGUCUACAACCCUAUGGACCUGAGACCCCCUGUUUUCUGCAAGGCGACUUAAGAGCACACAUUUCCUGAAGGGAAGAUGUAUCCUUCUUUGUCAGUUCCCACACCUCGUAGGAGGACUGGGUGGGUGAGUGCAACAUCACGCCCGUGCUCUCAAUUGUUGGAAACCAGUUUGGUGGUUCCCACCGUCUCUGGCUCUGUGACUCCUCUUGAUUGUUGGCAGAGUUUCUCAGCCAGUUGAAAAUCACUGCUUUAGUGAACCACUACUGGUUACCUGAGUAUGUUACUGAUGAAGAUUGAUCAUUGAUCUAAUCAGUUACAAAAAGGAAGCUGUAAUCAGCCCAGAAGGGGCAGGAUCAUACACUGAUCACCUGGGAGUAGGGUCUCACAUGCUGCCAUAUCUUUGAGGGGAGUACAUUUUGAGAGCAAAAUUAGCAAAAUCUUGGAUCAUCACUGCUGUUGCAGUGCUUAUUCUGAAUACCAAAAAUCAAGAACUAUUUUAAACUAUCAGUGGAAAUAUAGCAGUCCACAUUUCAAAGAACUCAGAACUGUCCAGGCACAUGGAAAAGUUAACUUUCUGAAGAGAAAUAGAAUGUGAUGAAGUAAUUUAAAGAAUAUAACUUAGUAUUACAAAUAUUGGGUGGUUAGUUGUUUACUGUUUAUAAUAGACUGUUAAAUAUACUCAUAUGAACUUUCCAGGGCAACAUAUUCUGGGUUAUUGUUUAUGUAUUCUAGUGUAGACAAGUUAUAUUUGCCGUGAGAAACAUUCUAAAUGAUUAAAAUUGUAUUUAAAGAAUCACAUUGAAGUUCAAUUUGUGUUAACUAUAUUAAAUAUCUUAGUCACUAUUGUUAUUGUAACGUUUGCUUUCUGACAACACAUUUUGAGGCCUAAGAAAGGUAUUAUAUUGAUAAGUCCCUUAAUUAACAUUUGGUUAGAAACUGAAUGUUAACAAAAAGUUUUGUGUAUGUGUGUGAAUGUGAGACUUCCUUUUGUAUUGUAUUAACUCUUUUAAAAUGUAUUCAGUAAGUGAAACCAAUGAGUAGUGUAGCACCAACACUUUCCUUCAAGGAAGCAUUUAAUUCAGUGAAUAAAACAAAUCUUAUAAUUUGUUUUGCAUGGUACAAUGGUUCUACUAAAAUGUACUCGUGUAGUAGGUACUUUAAGAACAAAAACUGGGAAACCACAAAAAGAAAAAAAAAAUCCCACAACCUGUUAUACAAAAUAUGCAUUGCUAAUAGUAGAAGCCAUAUAUUGCCAUUGUACUGUUGUAAUACUUAAGAUUGCUCACCUGGUGCUAUCUGUAAACUAUUUGGCAUUAGCAUCUAUUAGAUACUUCUUCCUAUUUCUUCUUGAAUGUAUAAUGUGUGCCUUUUAAGUUAUUUCUGGUGUUGAAUGGUAAAUUCAGUGUGGUAUUUUUGUAUUAUAAUCUGCACUUUACACUUUCUUGGAAAGUAAAACUCCAGACUCUCCAGUUUAAAUAGUAUUUUUAAAAUAUUUAUAAUGUUUACAAUAAAUAUUUUAAAUAUUUGAAUUCAACAUCUAAGAGUAAGAAAAAAAUUUAAAUAUUUUAUAUGGUUUGUUAAGUGAUGUUUAAUGUUUGUCUCUUCUCAGUUUAUUUUAUAUCUUUUAGAGUGGCUAAUAAUGGGAAUAGAUUGUAGUUUGUCUUUUAAUGUGGGGUAAACUUUUAUGAAAUGAAACAUGGGUGUAAUUGAAUUGUCUUACCCGUUGUUCCACCAUAUCAACCUUUAUUGUUUUAGUAACAAUAAUAUGAGUUAGAUGUUACUCUUAGCCAACCUAUUAAGAUUCUCUUCUUACUGUAUUUUUUCUUUUUAAAGUAGAUUGAUUGAUUCAGGUCAUGAGAAAAUUUCCAGGGCUAAAUGAAAAACUACAUAGAGAUUUUAAUAACUUGCUUUUUACAUUGACUAAAUAUUAAAAGCAUUAAAAUUUUUUUAAUUGAAAAUCUUGGGUUAUGCUGUUAGACCUUUUACUAGAUCUGUAUCCCCCUCCCCGAGAUUUUUUCUAAUUCUCUAGCUUUUGGUAUGACAUCCAUUGCCUCAAAAAAAUCUCGCUUUUUAAAAGCUGACAAAACUUACUGCACUAUUAACAACAACUGUAGCAAUGAGUGUGUAAUAGAUGGAUGCAAGGUAUCUUAUGGGGAAUAAUUAUAAAACCAUGUUCCAACAAUAAUAAUCUAAAACAGUAUUUGACAGUCUAAAUCUUGAAAACAGAAUUAUGCCAACCUUCUGCAUAAAGCUAAUAUGUUUAACAGGAAGCAUUCAUGAUGAAUGAUUCAUCUUGAAAAUAAGAUUUCAUUUUAUACAAAUCUUUUGUCUGAGGAGUUAGCCUGUAUGUGUGUUAUAUAUUUAGUUUUUCAUUGCAAGAAAAAUAGUAUUCAAUCCGCUAUAAUAUCAGUAUCUAUAAUCUUCUCUACAAGCAUAUUUGUACGUAUGCACAUUUGUAUUACUCUAAUUUAGCAGAUGUCUUUGAUAUUUAUUCCCCUUUUGUCAUAGCAUCCUUGCUCAUAUGACCUACAGUAAAUGAAAAACUAAAUGUGAAAUGAUUUUAAAGUCAUUUUCUAGGCUUUAUUAUUUUAUAAGCCUAGUAAAAAGUGGAUUAGGUGCAUUAGUUUUAGUUAAGAAUUAAAGUUUGAGUAAAGACUUACUUUUUCACAUGCUAUUUAAAUUAAAAUGCCUUUAAUUAAAAGAUAAUAUUAAAAUAUGAGGCCUUUUUCCCCACAUGGUUAUUAGUUUUGUCUUGCUAAUAACUUGCAUCCAACAGAAACAUUAGUGUUUGUUUUUGGUCUUUUCUUUUGGCCUUGAUCAAGGGAAAUAUUUAUUUAAAGAAUGCCUUGUUUAUUUAGAAUGACAUGAUUUACCUCAUUUAGAAUGACUUCUAUUUCUCAUGUGUUAAUAAAUGUAUUUCUUUAUAUUGCUUUAAAACACUUGCAUCUUUGCUCUUUUCUAACUCUGAACUUUCCUCUGUGGCUGCAUCUGAGGUGCUUUCUUCAGGUGAUGAAACUUACCAGGAUAUUUUUCGUGAUUUCUCCCAAAUGGCAUCCAAUAAUCCAGAGAAACUAAAUCGUUUCCAGCA